GAUUGAACGCUGGCGGCAGGCCUAACACAUGCAAGUCGAGCGGAUGAAUGGAGCUUGCUCCUGGAUUCAGCGGCGGACGGGUGAGUAAUGCCUAGGAAUCUGCCUGGUAGUGGGGGAUAACGUCCGGAAACGGGCGCUAAUACCGCAUACGUCCUGAGGGAGAAAGUGGGGGAUCUUCGGACCUCACGCUAUCAGAUGAGCCUAGGUCGGAUUAGCUAGUUGGUGGGGUAAAGGCCUACCAAGGCGACGAUCCGUAACUGGUCUGAGAGGAUGAUCAGUCACACUGGAACUGAGACACGGUCCAGACUCCUAAGGGAGGCAGCAGUGGGGAAUAUUGGACAAUGGGCGAAAGCCUGAUCCAGCCAUGCCGCGUGUGUGAAGAAGGUCUUCGGAUUGUAAAGCACUUUAAGUUGGGAGGAAGGGCAGUAAGUUAAUACCUUGCUGUUUUGACGUUACCAACAGAAUAAGCACCGGCUAACUUCGUG
rnacentral:rRNA from 1 species